AUGGAAGAGAACGAGAGGCCCACCAGCUCUCUGAUCUGCUGUCAACCAGCUGCGGCCGGAGACUGCCAAAGUGCUGCGAUGACUAGGCAGCGCCCUGCGGAGCCGUCUGGGAGGGGAUUACCAGCCUGAUCCUCUGCUCUUCGGAGCCAGAAAUGACUCAAACUUCACAAACAGCCGGGGCCUGCCAGGGAGGGUGACAAUGAGCGCUGGAGAGGGUUUUCUCCCCCUGGUUAGUGUCUCUUCCCCCCGUCUCACUGCGGUGGCACAUUCUGGACAGUGUGCAGCCUGUGAGGUAAUCUGAAUUCCUUGGCAACCGGCAAGUACCUGAAUUCUUUCAAAACCACAGGAAUCCAGCAGAGAAAAGAACAUUUGCGAAGCACAGUGGCCCGAGAAUUUUCCCACCUUAUCACCGCUGCAUGAGAGCACAAUAUGAUCCUGGAUCCCAGCUGGGAAAGAGCCUGCUGUGGACCAACACUGAACCACUAGUCCCAGCACGGGCAACAGGUGCUCUCAGAGGAACGGCCUCUCCGAGGUGAAGGAGGAGGCCUGUGACCACCCCUGACGCGAGUCCCAGAGGAUGAACACCCCACUGCGCGACCAGACCAGACUCAAAGUCCAACAGGUUAACAGAAUCAAAGCCAGGAAAUCUAGAGCAAACUUUCUCUUCCUCUUUCCAUGCUUCCUCAUGAUAGAGGAAGAGUCUCUCUCUCUCGGACUUAGUGAGAAGAAAACUAUCUGUCUAUCCUGUGUCAAAUCUGAUCUCCCUCACAGAAGUGGCUUCUCUCAAGGGAGGUAUUGAGAGAUGGUCAUUGUGUGCACACGCCCAGUGUCUUUAGCCACAAGGCACAGUGGUGAGGAGCUUGGCUUCUGGAACCAAACAGCUGUAUAAUCUACAGAAAGAUACUUAACCUCACUGUACCUUAGUCUUCUCACCUACAAAGCUGGGAGUAGUAACAGUUCCUACCUCAGAGUAAGGCACCACUUAGAAGAGGGCUUAACAGAAGGAAAAUGUUCAUCAGCUAUUAUCACUGCUUCUACUUCAGUUCAGCUCAGUUGCUCAGUCGUGUCUGACUCUUUGCGACCUCAUGGACUGCGGCACUCCAGGCCUCCCUGUCCAUCACCAACUCCCAGAGUCUAUUCAAACUCAUGUCCCUUGAGUCAGUGAUGCCAUCCAGCCAUCUCAUCCUCUGUUGUCCCCUUCUCCUCCCGUCUUCAAUCUUUCUCAGCACAGGGUCUUUUCAAAUAAGUCAGCUCUUCGCUUCUGUUUAGACUCUCCCAAAAGACCUGCCUCACUCUUUCUCUGUACUUAUGCCUCUUCUGUGCACUAAGUCUACUGAGACAGACUCUGCCCACCAAGGAGCAAAACCUGAAAUAGCCUGUCCCCUCUGUCUGGACAUAAAGAGGUCUAAGUUCACUUAAGGCAAAAGAAACAAUGACACCUGUAUGCAGGCCACACAUUCCUAUCUAGCUUAACCAGCACGACAGCGGACAUCCGCAUUGCUAUCUCACUCCCAUGAAUAUAUUUCAAUUAGUCUAAACUCCAAGGAAACAGGGUGACGAACUGGCACCUCUAAACCCUAUCACUAAAAGAUGCGUGAUACUUGUACCCCCGAAGAACAUAAGUCACACACGUCCAAAAGUUGAGGUGACAAACAUUCCUUAAAUGACAAGAGGAAGAGAGAUACCAAAUAGGGUGCCUCUGUAGUUCAUAUGCAGAAGUAUAUUCUUCCUUACAUGGGCACUAACUCAUCAAUGAAAAAGGACUUUCCGUAUUAGACAGGAGCACAUUUCUAUGACACCCCAGUGUGUCCUUACAUACCUGACACUGACAAGCUUACUAAGAAUACACACACAGACAUACUCAGAAUACAACAGUGUUAAAGUUAUCUCUGCAGCUGUUUUACUAAAGAAGCAACUUUUUAAGGAUUUGAAAAGCCCCUGGGAGUGAAUAACUCUGCUCCAAGUUCAGUUGCUGGGAAUGGGGAUGAGGGAUGGGGCACCAGGAGUCAAGCACUUACUACAGAAUUCCGCAUACUCAGCUGGCAGCAGGAAGGUCUGGGGGAGGAUGUGAAAAGCCUUGAAUCCAUGUGUAUGCUGCAUUCGAAUGAUGUUUUUGUACAGUCGGUCCUUCCGGGUUAGUUCAUAUGACCUAAGUUUCAUAAAAGCAUUUCCAUUUCAGUAAACUAUGACUCAGAGGUUUUCCUAUGUUAAAGAGUUCCCAGUUCAUAAGCAGUUACUGAGGACAGUCUUAUACCCCAAAUCUAUCACUUUGUCAAGGAAAUGAUCACCUUAAAACCAGGGCAAUCACUGCUAUCGAUCAAGGAUUGGAAUCUGGCAAACUACAAAGAUGGGCUUCAGUUAGCCAUGACCGCACUCAUGAGUCUCUGGUUUGUUGCACUAUUUAAAGACCAUCCAAGAAUCUUUGCUGUAACCAUUAAAAACACAUUCCAUCUGUUGCUCAGUUCAAAAUUUUCACUUUGAUUUCUUAAAAUCAAAGGUUUCUUUGCAAGAUCUAGGUAUCACCAACACUUCUUCCUUACCCACUGUCCUCCUUGGAUUUAGAGCAGAGGUCCUCAAAUUUUAGUGCAUAAGAAUCACUCAUAAAGUUCCUUAAAAAUGAAUGUUCCAAGAUCACAUCUCCAAAAAUUGGGGGAUGAAGUCUAGGAUUCUGCAUUUAAACAUGCACCCCAGGUGAUUUUGCUACAGAUGGUCCAAAAAACUGAUUUGGUCUAAAUCAGUGAUUUCUGAACUUGACUGAGAUACGGAUCACUCACUGCUUUUAAAAUAUAUAACUUUCUAGGAAUAUAUUUACCUAGAAAGAUUAAGCACCUGGAAGGUGCUUUUUAAAUAUACACCUUCUCUGGAAAUGGUGAUUCCUUGAAUCUGCAAUUAAGACCUGUGACUGUAAUGUACCCCCAGUGAUGCUUAUCAUUAAGCAAUUAGAAACAAUAAACCAGAGGAUAAGAAAAACAACA